rnacentral:snRNA from 1 species
AUGCUUGCUUCGGCAGCAUAUAUAUUAAAAUUGGAAUGAUACAGAGAUUAGCAUAGCCCCGGCACAAGGAUGACAUGUAAAAAUGUUCUUU